GAUGAAGAACGUAGCGAAAUGCGAUAAUUAAUGUGAAUUGCAGAAUUCCGUGAAUCAUCGAGUCUUUGAACGCACAUUGCGCCUCAUGGCAUUCCGUGAGGCAUGCCCAUCUCAGCGUUAGAAAAUAUUCUCAAAUUUUAGUUUUGUGCUAAAAUUUGGAUCAUGUCAAGGAAGCUAUUACUAUUAUUGUGAUCGCUCUUUGGAAAUUGAUAGGUCUUUGAGUUGCUACUCAUAGAACGUGAUGAAUCUUUCUUCGUUCUAUUGUAAGUCACUCUGGUAGUCCUAAAACUUGUAUGCCUGUGGCAUAUCUUGUAAUUUGACCUGAGAUUGGGUAGGGAUACCCGCUGAACUUAAGCAUAUCAAUAAGCGGAGGA
rnacentral:misc_RNA from 1 species